rnacentral:lncRNA from 1 species
GAAUGGAUACCAGCUCAGAGCUGGAGACAGACUCAGGACUAGUGCGGGCUCAGGGCCCUGACCCACACAGGGCAUAGGAUGUAAGGAAAGACAGGCACAGGAACCCAAAGAGCUUCUGUGGGGGUGGAGGGGCUGCCCUUAGCCGGGUCUCUACUAUCUCAGGUCCUUGAACCCUUCUGUUCUAUUUUGCAAUUGGUUCGGGAGGCCCAGCUGCCUUUCCUGCCUCCCUGCUUAUCGCUGGGACUUCUAACUCCACUACAAUGGCUGAUUGUACUCCUCCGGGUGCGGCAGAGCUGCUGGACACCCCCCAGCCCUCUCUCUUUCUUUGAUGGCUGUGGGACUAUAAUGGAUCCCUUUGUGAUUCAUUUUUCAGGUGACAGUGUGGCCCUUGAGUUGAAGGGCAGUGGGGGCUUGGGAGAAAGUGGCAGAGGAGCCCUGACCGCACCCUGAAGGUAACCAGGGAGGAGCCUCUGCCACUGGCCAACCCCGGCUAACCAGGAGCCUGGUCAGAGGAAGAUAACAUCAUGCCUGGGACAGAGACGGCAGAAGAAACCAACAUCUUCAAGGACUUGGUGUUGGCCAUCUCGUGCUUGUUUUUGGUCACACUGAAGGAAAGGAACUUGCUCAUGGCUACCCUCCAUUCCCCGCCAGCAGGGCAUGCGCUAGGAGGCCCCCUUACAACCCUAACCCUUCAUACCCAAAGAUGACGCUGAGGCCAAUGGGACAGAAUAGCCUCCUGCUAGACUUGCUUUGGGUGGGGAGCUUGUAUCCAACCCUAGGACAGGCCGGGAAUAGCCUUUACCGGGUGCCUGUCUGUCCUGGGUACAGGGACAGGCUCAGCCUUUCAUAGAGCAUAUAACAUGGAAACUGAUGAAGGGUCCCGGUAGUCACUUGAGGAAAGGGCCUGAGAGUCAAUGAAUCCCCAUCCCUGAGCAGCAGAGGGAAGCCUAGAGGAGCACCGCCCAGCAGGUUCCAGAUGUCCCAGGUGACUUCGGAAACCCUGAAAGGGACAAAGAAAGCUCAGCUUAGACCAAAGAGUGCUGCUGCCAGGAGGGCCCCGGGUCUGAGGGAGCCACGGACCCAUUUGUAUCAUGCCUGGCAGGUAUAAUGGACAGUGCUUGGGAGCUGCUAGGUGGAGCUGAGCGUGCUGAGGCAGGGGUCUGGCCCAAAUGGAGACUUUGCAGAGUAAAUAUCCAAGGACCUCUUACUUCAGCUCAUGGCCAAGUGUAGACAGAUGGCAUGAACAAGUACAGAGCACACAACGGUGUCCGGGGGGUCACCAGGCAGGUGGUGUCUGCUGCGAAGGCUUCCUGUGGGGGAGGCAACCCUCUUGCUGGUGGGAAGAUAUCUCAGCAUUCUGUCCCAGUUGUGUUUUGUUAGGAGUGUGACCACAGACCACCUCUGCAGAGACCAG